GGCCCGCUCCUGGUGGUGUUGUGCUCUGUCUCGCAGCUCAGAGUCGUGCGUAGAGCAGGGUUAGCCCUCGAAAGCAGAGCUAAUGUCGAUGUGACUUUGGUGUUAGCGGAAGGUUUCGGAUUGACAGCCCUGGAGACUGAAGUCCUCUAAUUUAUCCACAGGACAGGUACAGCAGCGGCAGUGCGAGCUACCCCCACACCGCCCCAUCCAUGUGCCUCAACUCUGACUUGGAGGGACCACCUCAGGAGGCCACCCGGCAGCCACUGCAUGGCAACGAACUUGGGCCAAUUCCAGCCUGGGCUGCAGUUCUUCCGGUGACCUGGAAGCCUAUACCAUUCAAGGACAGUAUGCCAUUCCACAGCCAGAUCUGACCAAGCUGCACCAGUUGGCAAUGCAACAGUCACACUUUCCAAUGUCUCAUGGCAACACUGGAUUCAGUGGUAUGGAAACUCCUUCUCUCCUCUGUACGCUAACGUGGGCCGAAGGCCGACCUGGGAGCCGGGCUCCCCUCUAAGCAGGGCCUCUGCACGGGGUCUUGUGUGCUCAAAACAAACAAACAAACAACCAGCAAAACACAACACCAAACAACCCUAAAAACCCACAGCAUGAAUGAUGAAGUCUGGCCAGGUAACCAAACUCUGUCGCGCCGCCUCUGGGGGCAACUGUGGUCUCUGCACCCCCUCCCCGCCGAGGGCAGAUCAGUGAGCAGGCAGGGCCUCCGUGCUGCUUUCCUCCCUCCCACCCUGUCCUUCAUGGCUCUGGGGACCCCCCUGGCCUGCAGCACCUGCUCUCCCCCUUCUGGCUGCUCCAGCCCUGAGCAGGCAGCUGCUGAGUUGCACCAAAUUUGCUGUAGCGUUUGCUAAGGUGGCUGCGUUUCCACAUGGGGCUCUAAACGUGAGACAGCCAAACUCAUUGUCGCUUGUGUCUUAACAGGCAUUGAAUCCAGCUCUCCAGAGGUGAAAGGCUAUUGGGGUAAUGAUUGAAACACAAAAUCUGUAGUUUAUUGUGUAUUAAUACUGACCGGGGUCUCGUUCUCCCU